AAAAGGCGCGCAGCCAAAAUGGA
rnacentral:snRNA from 1 species